CACAAAUGCCAGGACAACACCGUCUUCCGGCCGACGAGCGUGUCUCUCAAGCGGCUACUCUUCAAAUCACAGCCGCCCCCCACCCCCUGCUCGUCUCCGGAUGAUGCGAGCCCCUCCGCGACUCUCAAGUUGUUUUGAAAGUGAAGUCAGGCUAGUGGGGCGUCACACCACGGCAUCCUGCGGCUGUGCGACCAGGUGGAUGCUUUGCUGAACUAACAAGGCAGCGCGAAGUGUGCGCUUGUUCUCGCUGGGUGGCUGCCUGAAAUGUCAGCGACGGAGGGACAGAUAGGUGCUAGAGUCUAAACAUAACCUGCUGUAAAUCACACACACACACACACACGUAGGUGAGACAAUAUGUGCGUGUGUGCGUGGCUGUUGGCGGGUGGGUUGUGGCCUUGUCUAUAUCUGUGUGUGUGUGUUUGUGUGUGAAUUGUGACGGGGCAGCAUGGUAAUGGCUGGUCAGCUGGUAUGGCGAGUAUUCAGGGCGGGGGCUGUGCAUUGUCCUCUCAUGGCUCCCCAACAAUGCCCCUCUGAGCAGCUCGCCACACAUCUACCAGUCACGGGCCUCUCUCUCACCCAUUCUCUCUCUGCUGCUUUGCUUUCCGUCUGCCAUAUUUAUUCAGCCGGGGCGAGGCGUAAAGUGAGACGUGAGGGUUGUUGUGAGAGCCGUGAUGCCCCUGACCAUUUGGGCGAAGGUCAAGCAGCGAGACCCCCUGCCGUCUCCACCCCCACCCCCCAACUCACCAUGCUCCAAAUCAAACCACGUCAUUCACGCUGGAGCUGCCAAGACACAUACAUACCUCCAUACAAACGUCAUCACAUGAUGCACGCGUUGAAUAAUUUAUAGAGCCUAAUCAGUUCUGAAAGGCUGUUUUUCAAAAAUAAUGUGCUCCCGUCGUGCAUAUGUACACAUAACUGAUGGCAUUUUAUGAUAAAGUGACAAAAGAUUGAUUGUCGGUCUAAUGUUUAAGUCAUAGGAACGUCAACGUUUGAGUGUGUUAUAAAUCAAAGAGCCACGGAAUCCUGUCAGACACACUCCAAAUGUUUAAAAAGUCAACAAGGCAACAACAUUUGUAUUUUUGUCACAUUUCACUUACUCCAAAACUUUUGUCCAACUAAUGAAAAACAUGUACAUCCAAAUAUUGUUAGUUUUAUGUUGGACUAAGAUAAAUAUUUUAGAUAAAAAGGGUGUUAAAAAAACCCUCUGGCAAUACGUCUGUUUUUCUUUCACUAUUCACUUCCCGGAAGUGUCUGUAUUAAACAUGUAUCCAACUUUCAUGACUAUAUGUCUGAAUAAACUAUUUCUGAUGAAAAUGGCAAAAAAAAAACAAAAAAAAACCUCUUCACUUUCUGCUUGUGGAAUUGGUCCCAAAACUUUUGUCUUGUAUGAAAAAGGCGUAUCUACAAAUUUUGUGAGUUUCAUAUCAGAAUAACAUCAAUAUUUUGGAUAAAAAGGGCAACAAAAAAUAACCAGGUCUAUUUCUUUCACUUUUCAAUUCAUGUGUGUGGAAUUUGUCCCAAAACUCUUUCCCAUAUCCAAUGGAAAACAUGUACAGUUCCUACAAACUUUGUGAGUUUUACUGUAUAUCCGAAUAUCAAAUAUUUCAGAUUAAAAGGGGAAAAAAACUAAACAAAACCAAAGAAAAAACACAGUUUUUUUCUAUAAUAAUAACAAUAACAAAUAAUUACUGAUAUUUCUGAUACAAUUACAAAAUAUUAAUUGUCUGUUCAAUGUUUAAGUCACUGGAAUGCCCAAAUGUAUUCGUGUGCGAAAUAUGGCGUCUUCACUUUUCCACAUCGUGUUCAUCAGUGAAGGCUUGUGAAAAGACGCCUUCUUGUGGACGAUGGGCACAACUAUGUCUGGUCAAGAUCUAAAAAGUCACAAAGAUGAAGAAAAUACGGAGAAAGUGAGUCUUCUAAAAUCUCCAAAAGGCAAAUUGUUGCAGAUGAUUUGUUAAAUGAAUAGAAUUUUAACAAAGCGCUGGGGGGCGAAAGGUCUCAGGGCAUUACCUCCUCUAAUCUGCAGGGGGCGACAGAGCAACAAGGUGAUAGCAGCAGCUUCCUCUGAUUGGAAAUUAAAGUACUGUAUUAGACAGUUAACAUUUUGGUUAUUAUGUAUUUAACAUACGAAAUGUUUUAUUUUAAUUUGUAUUUAACAUAAUGUAUUCAGUAAUUCACGUCAAUAAGAAUUUUGCCUUCUAGACAUACAGACCGACAGAUAGAUAGAUAGAUGGCAGCAUGAAUUCAACUCCUCUCCUUGUUUUUUGUCUUUGUCUGCUUUCCUCCUCUGACUCUUACGUGUACGUGACGUAUAAGUGCUCACGGUAGGACAUCAGCCGCUCACCUGGCUGAGGGAGCUCAGGCUAAUCUCCAAUCCGAUUAGGCUCCUUAUCUACUCAGCGCUGCUUUUAUGUUCUUUGGAGCCAACUGAAAUAACGUACAAAGAAGAGACGGCCUCUUUCACCCUCACUGCAUCAGGGAACGGGAAUGAACUUCAACUACAGUGAUUAAAGUCCAGAUAAAUGCCUCGAAACGAUGACUGAAUCAAUCAGGGAAAGCUUGAAGAUUGCCCUUUUCUAUACAUUAAGGUGUGCUUGGAUGGGUUUGGUGCGGAGGAACCCACAUUAGACAGCCAGAGAAUCCUGACAGACAUUCUCCAAACAUCUUCUAGAAAGUCUGGAAGCUGUCGUAGCUGCAAACCUUGAUGACAGUUAUUUUCGUGAAAUGUAUCAUAUUUAUCCUCAAAAGUUUGUAUGUAGUCUUGUGAAAAAUAUACUGUACAUUGAAGUUUUAUCUACGAAUAACAAUUAUUUUGGAUGAAGAGGGGGAAAAACAACUGUGGAUGUAAGUCUGUGCCGGUAUUUCCUUUACUUUCACUGUUCACUUGUUCACAUGAAAAAUAUACAUAUCUACACAUUUCGUGACUUUUAUAUCUGAUUAAGAAAUAGUAAAUAAUAAAAAAAGAAACCUGGGAAAUUCUUUUGGGUGGAAAUUUUCCCAAAACUUUUAUCCAUAUGAAAAUAAUGCAUCUACAAAUUUAGUGACUUUUAUAUUCAAAUAACCUAAUAAAGAUGAUGGGCAAAAAAAAUUGUCUGUGU